GCCUCUGUAGCUCAGUUGGUUAGAGCACUGCACCAGAAUCGCAGGGCCGUAGGUUCAAUUCCUACCAGAAGAA
rnacentral:tRNA from 1 species